rnacentral:lncRNA from 1 species
CCCCAUGGGGCUCCCAUCCGGCCCCACAGAGGCAGCCCUGGGUGGGGGGCUCAGCCCAUCUCCCAUCCUCUCUGCAGUACAUGGUGGGGGGGUCCCCGCUCCCCGCCGGCACGGCCCCCUCCACGCAUCUCCCCAUCACAGCCGCCACCAAUUCCUUCGGGACGGUCGCGGGAAACUCCGCCAACCUCGCCACGACGGACGGACACCUCUGGAAGUACAGACGGACCGACAGCAGAGCCAUACAAGCUCCCAGGUCCUGGAAGGCUAAAUAAAAACCUUUGCGGCCCAAAGGUCCUAAACGUAAAAUUUUUCUGUUCACUUUUCCCGAGGGUCGACCGCCCGCCCCGCUGGGCCGGGAGAGAUGCUCGGCCGCCACCGUGUCCACCUUGACGUAGGGGUUCUCCAUCCACGGGGGCGCCGACGCCGUCGCCGUGUCGGCGUCCGAUUCGUGAUAGAAAACGUUGAAAGUUUCUUUGCAGGGCCGGGGGGGGGCGGGGAGGGGGCUGCGGCGGGGGCGGGAGGCGUUGCUAUGGGCGCCGUUGCUAUGGGAACGGAGGCUUUGGGGGAUGUCGGGGGGGCUGCUGUUGUGGUCGCAGCAUCCCUUGGGUCCGUUGCUAGGGCCGUUGCUAAGGGCAUCCGUGUUCCUGAGCCUGUUGCUAGGGCCGUUGCUAUGGACAUGGAUGCUCCUGGAGCCGUUGCUAGGGCCGUUGCUAUGGACAUCCGUGUUCCUGAGCCCGUUGCUAGGGCCGUUGCUAUGGACAUGGAUGCUCCUGGAGCCGUUGCUAGGGCCGUUGCUAUGGACAUUGGUGUUCCUGAGCCCGUUGCUAUGGUCACAGCAUCCCUUGGGUCCGUUGCUAGGGCCGUCGCUAUGGACACUGACGCUCCCGGACCCGUUGCUACGGCCAUCCGUGUUCCUGAACCCGUUGCUAUGGCCGUUGCUACGGACGCUGCGGCUCCGCCUGUUGCUCGGGCCGUUGCCAUGGGAACCCCACGGUCCAUCAGCGGGGCCGUUGCCAUGGACGCCGCUCGAUCCAUCACCGACGCCGUCGCCGCGGGGACCCCCCGGCCGAUCUCCGGGCCCGUCGCCAUGGAAACCGCGCCCCCCCCCAUCCGGACGGAUGCGCCGAAGGGCCGCUGGCCGGUUGUUGUUGCCACGGUAACGGGCGAUCAGACUGUCGCACUCCACCACGGUGUACCGCAGCUCGGCGUAGACGUGGGUGGCGCCGCGCCGUGGGACCCAAGUGGAGCGCAGCCAGCUGUUCUGGGGGGGGCCGGGGGGGCGCAGACCCGAACAAACCUCGAACGUCCGAACCGCCGUCUGCCGCUCCUCGUCCAGACCGCUCAGCUCCUCCCACUGGGGGGGGGGAA